AUUGAACGCUGGCGGCAGGCCUAACACAUGCAAGUCGAACGGUAACAGGAAGAAGCUUGCUUCUUUGCUGACGAGUGGCGGACGGGUGAGUAAUGUCUGGGAAACUGCCUGAUGGAGGGGGAUAACUACUGGAAACGGUAGCUAAUACCGCAUAACGUCGCAAGACCAAAAAGGGGGACCUUCGGGCCUCUUGCCAUCGGAUGUGCCCAGAUGGGAUUAGCUAGUAGGUGGGGUAACGGCUCACCUAGGCGACGAUCCUAGCUGGUCUGAGAGGAUGACCAGCCACACUGGAACUGAGACACGGUCCAGACUCCUACGGGAGGCAGCAGUGGGGAAUAUUGCACAAUGGGCGCAAGCCUGAUGCAGCCAUGCCGCGUGUAUGAAGAAGGCCUUCGGGCUGUAAAGUACUUUCAGCGGGGAGGAAGGGAGUAAAGUUAAUACCUUUGCUCAUUGACGUUACCCGCAGAAGAAGCACCGGCUAACUCCGUG
rnacentral:rRNA from 1 species